UCACUAAGCCAGAUCACCAGGUGUGGUGGCAGGCGCUGUUACUAAGCCAGAUCACCAGGUGUGGUGGCAGGCGCUGUCACUAAGCCAGAUCACCAGGUGUGGUGGCAGGCGCUGUCACUAAGCCAGAUCACCAGGUGUGGUGGCAGGUGCUGUCACUAAGCCAGAUCACCAGGUGUGGUGGCAGGUGCUGUCACUAAGCCAGAUCACCAGGUGUGGUGGCAGGUGCUGUCACUAAGCCAGAUCACCAGGUGUGGUGGCAGGUGCUGUCACUAAGCCAGAUCACCAGGUGUGGUGGCAGGUGCUGUCACUAAGCCAGAUCACCAGGUGUGGUGGCAGGUGCUGUCACUAAGCCAGAUCACCAGGUGUGGUGGCAGGUGCUGUUACUAAGCCAGACCACCAGCCCUAAUUGUGCAUUUUCUUAGACAAACUCUCACUGUGUGUACUGUGUGGACCAGGAUGGCCUUGAACUCAGAGAUCUGAUGUUCUCUAAAUGCUGAGACUAAAGGCAUGUGCUACCAUGCCUGGCAACUUUUUU